UACGUAGGUGGCAAGCGUUGUCCGGAAUUAUUGGGCGUAAAGCGCGCGCAGGCGGCUUCUUAAGUCUGAUGUGAAAGCCCACGGCUCAACCGUGGAGGGUCAUUGGAAACUGGGGAGCUUGAGUGCAGAAGAGGAGAGUGGAAUUCCAUGUGUAGCGGUGAAAUGCGUAGAUAUAUGGAGGAACACCAGUGGCGAAGGCGGCUCUCUGGUCUGUAACUGACGCUGAGGCGCGAAAGCGUGGGGAGCGAACAGG
rnacentral:rRNA from 1 species